rnacentral:rRNA from 1 species
GACGAACCGUGCGAACGUUGUUCGGAAUCACUGGGCUUAAAGGGCGCGUAGGCGGGCUAUCAAGUCUGGGGUGAAAUCCCACGGCUCAACCGUGGAACUGCCUUAGAUACUGACGGCCUUGAGGAAGGUAGGGGCAUGCGGAACUGUAGGUGGAGCGGUGAAAUGCGUUGAUAUCUACAGGAACUCCGGUGGCGAAAGCGGCGUGCUGGACCUUUUCUGACGCUGAGGCGCGAAAGCUAGGGGAGCAAACAGG